rnacentral:rRNA from 1 species
ACGGAUCCUUCGGGAUUAGUGGCGGACGGGUGAGUAACACGUGGGAACGUGCCUUUUGGUUCGGAACAACUCAGGGAAACUUGAGCUAAUACCGAAUGUGCCCUUCGGGGGAAAGAUUUAUCGCCAUUAGAGCGGCCCGCGUCUGAUUAGCUAGUUGGUGAGGUAAAGGCCCACCAAGGCUACGAUCAGUAGCUGGUCUGAGAGGAUGAUCAGCCACACUGGGACUGAGACACGGCCCAGACUCCUACGGGAGGCAGCAGUAGGGAAUCUUGCGCAAUGGGCGAAAGCCUGACGCAGCCAUGCCGCGUGAAUGAUGAAGGUCUUAGGAUUGUAAAAUUCUUUCAGCGGGGACGAUAAUGACGGUACCCGCAGAAGAAGCCCCGGCUAACUUCGUGCCAGCAGCCGCGGUAAUACGAAGGGGGCUAGCGUUGCUCGGAAUUACUGGGCGUAAAGGGCGCGUAGGCGGACAGUUUAGUCAGAAGUUAAAGCCCAGGGCUCAACCUUGGAAUCGCUUUUGAUACUGACUGUCUUGAGUACGGGAGAGGUGUGUGGAAUUCCGAGUGUAGAGGUGAAAUUCGUAGAUAUUCGGAAGAACACCAGUGGCGAAGGCGACACACUGGCCCGUUACUGACGCUGAGGCGCGAAAGCGUG